GACGAACGCUGGCGGCGUGCCUUAAGCAUGCAAGUCGAACGGUGAAAUCGCAAGAUUGAACAGUGGCGGACGGGUGAGUAAUAGCAAGGAACGUACCCUUUACUAUGGGAUAGCCCACCGAAAGGUGGAGUAAUACUAUAUAGUCCCGCAAGGGUAAAGCGCGUAACUGCGCGGUAAUGGAGCGGCCUUGUUUCUAUCAGCUAGUUGGUAGGGUAAUGGCCUACCAAGGCUCUGACGGAUAGGGGGCGUGAGAGCGUGGCCCCCCACAAUGGCACUGAGACACGGGCCAUACACCUACGGGUGGCAGCAACUGGGAAUAUUUGACAAUGGGCGAAAGCCUGAUCAAGCGACGCCGCGUGAAGGAUGAAGGCCUGCGGGUUGUAAACUUCUUUUGCCAAGUCGUCGAGGCUUGGAGAAUAAGCGCCUACAAACUACG
rnacentral:rRNA from 1 species